rnacentral:tRNA from 1 species
UAAAAAGAUAAGCUAAAUAAGCUAUCGGGCUCAUACCUCGUCUAUGAUUAAAUUCUCUUUUUA